UAGAGUUUUUGAUCCUGGCUCAGAGCGAACGCUGGCGGCAGGCUUAACACAUGCAAGUCGAGCGGGCCCUUCGGGGUCAGCGGCGGACGGGUGAGUAACGCGUGGGAACGUGCCUUCUGGUCUGGAAUAACCCUGGGAAACUAGGGCUAAUACCGGAUACGCCCUUUUGGGGAAAGGUUUACUGCCGGAAGAUCGGCCCGCGUCUGAUUAGCUAGUUGGUGGGGUAACGGCCUACCAAGGCGACGAUCAGUAGCUGGUCUGAGAGGAUGAUCAGCCACACUGGGACUGAGACACGGCCCAGACUCCUACGGGAGGCAGCAGUGGGGAAUAUUGGACAAUGGGCGCAAGCCUGAUCCAGCCAUGCCGCGUGAGUGAUGAAGGCCUUAGGGUUGUAAAGCUCUUUUAUCCGGGACGAUAAUGACGGUACCGGAGGAAUAAGCCCCGGCUAACUUCGUGCCAGCAGCCGCGGUAAUACGAAGGGGGCUAGCGUUGCUCGGAAUCACUGGGCGUAAAGGGCGCGUAGGCGGCGUUUUAAGUCGGGGGUGAAAGCCUGUGGCUCAACCACAGAAUGGCCUUCGAUACUGGGACGCUUGAGUAUGGUAGAGGUUGGUGGAACUGCAGAAGUGUAGAGGUGAAAUUGGA
rnacentral:rRNA from 1 species